CCUACGGGAGGCAGCAGUAGGGAAUCUUUCACAAUGGGCGAAAGCCUGAUGGAGCAACGCCGCGUGGAGGAUGAAGGUCUUCGGGUUGUAAACUGCUUUUGUAAGCGAGAAAUAUGAUGGUAACUUAUGAAUAAGGAUCGGCUAACUACGUGCCAGCAGCCGCGGUAAUACGGAGGAUCCGAGCAUUAUCCGGAGUGACUGGGCGUAAAGAGUUGCGUAGGUGGGUUAAGAAGUAGCUAGGGAAUUCUGGAGGGGCAAAAAUUCAGACGAUUGGUGAAACUGUUAGGCUAGAGGAGGUGAGAAGUAAGUGGAAUGUGUGGUGUAGGAGUGAAAUCCGUAGAUAUUA
rnacentral:rRNA from 1 species